AACAAGGGUUUCCGUAAGGUGAACCUGCGGAAGGAUCAUUA
rnacentral:rRNA from 1 species